AACCAACUGCAGUCAUAAGAAGUCAUGGGGAUAUCUUAGCCUGAAUAUGGCCUCUUCUUUAUGGUCUUAUCUAAAGGAUUAGCUCUACCCAGUGGACUCUAUUCAGGAGCCUUUUCUCUUUGUUGGCUGCUGAGUUGACUGUGGUCCUUGCCCUGUUCACCCUGUCUCCAUCCCUCAGAACAGCUGGCAGGUGGGAAGGGAAGCAACGACAAGCCCAGAGGACAGUUUAUGGGAGCUGGUUCUCUUCUCUCACCAGGAAAAGAAAAGAAAAGAAGAGAAGAGAAAAGAAGAGAAAAGAAAAGAACACAUAUUCCCAAAGGCAAGCUACAGAACCAUUUCCAUAACCAAACAUGCUGGAACAAGACUAGAACCUUGGACUGAUACUGUCAAGAAGAUAUGAGAGGGCUGGGGGUGUGCAGAUCCACAGGGCGGCACUUGUCUGGUAUGCGCAAGGCCCUGGGGUCCACUCCUGACUCUACCCUCCCAUAGAAACAGAAGAAGAAAAAGAGCUUUCAGGGAAAUAAACAUUUCUAUCUGCUGUAAUGGACUGUUUUAAAUAAAAUAUCAAAAU
rnacentral:lncRNA from 1 species